rnacentral:rRNA from 1 species
GAGGCAGCAGUGAGGAAUAUUGGGCAAUGGACGAAAGUCUGACCCAGCAACGCCGCGUGGAGGAUGAAUGCCGUAAGGUUGUAAACUCCUUUUGAGAGGGACGAAAACCCAUAUUUCGUAAGGGAUAUGGUUUGACUGUACCUCUAGAAGAAGCCCCGGCUAACUACGUGCCAGCAGCCGCGGUAAUACGUAGGGGGCAAGCGUUGUCCGGAUUUACUGGGUGUAAAGAGUCCGUAGGCGGGUAAAUAAGUCAUUGGUGAAAUCUCACAGCUCAACUGUGAAACUGCCUUUGAUACUGUUUAUCUUGAGUGUGAGAGAGGAUGAUGGAAUUCAUGGUGUAGCGGUGAAAUGCGUAGAUAUCAUGAAGAACACCAGUAGCGAAGGCGGUCAUCUGGCUCACAACUGACGCUGAGGGACGAAAGCGUGGGGAGCAAACAGGAUUAGAUACCCCAGUAGUCCAAGCCG